UACGUAGGGGGCAAGCGUUGUCCGGAAUCAUUGGGCGUAAAGAGCGUGUAGGCGGCUCGGUAAGUCCGCUGUGAAAGUCGGGGGCUCAACCCUCGGAUGCCGGUGGAUACUGUCGGGCUUGAGUACGGAAGAGGCGAGUGGAAUUCCUGGUGUAGCGGUGAAAUGCGCAGAUAUCAGGAGGAACACCAAUGGCGAAGGCAGCUCGCUGGGACGGUACUGACGCUGAGGUGCGAAAGCGUGGGGAGCAAACAGG
rnacentral:rRNA from 1 species